rnacentral:rRNA from 1 species
CAGCCGCCGCGGGAAUACAGAGGGUGCGAGCGUUAAUCGGAUUUACUGGGCGUAAAGCGUGCGUAGGUGGUGGUUUAAGUCCGUUGUGAAAGCCCUGGGCUCAACCUGGGAAUUGCAGUGGAUACUGGGUCACUAGAGUGUGGUAGAGGAUAGUGGAAUUUCCGGUGUAGCAGUGAAAUGCGUAGAGAUCGGAAGGAACAUCUGUGGCGAAGGCGACUAUCUGGGCCAACACUGACACUGAGGCACGAAAGCGUGGGGAGCAAACAGGAUUAGAUACCCCAGUAGUCCCUGUCUCUUAUAC